rnacentral:rRNA from 1 species
UGCAAGUCGAGCGCGGGAAGCGAGCUGAUCCCUUCGGGGUGACGCUCGUGGAACGAGCGGCGGACGGGUGAGUAACACGUGGGCAACCUGCCUGUAAGAUCGGGAUAACUCCGGGAAACCGGGGCUAAUACCGGGUAAUACUUUCUUUCGCAUGAAGGAAAGUUGAAAGAUGGCUUCUCGCUAUCACUUACAGAUGGGCCCGCGGCGCAUUAGCUAGUUGGUGAGGUAACGGCUCACCAAGGCGACGAUGCGUAGCCGACCUGAGAGGGUGAUCGGCCACACUGGGACUGAGACACGGCCCAGACUCCUACGGGAGGCAGCAGUAGGGAAUCUUCCGCAAUGGACGAAAGUCUGACGGAGCAACGCCGCGUGAACGAUGAAGGUCUUCGGAUCGUAAAGUUCUGUUGUUAGGGAAGAACAAGUACCGUGCGAAUAGAGCGGUACCUUGACGGUACCUAACGAGGAAGCCCCGGCUAACUACGUGCCAGCAGCCGCGGUAAUACGUAGGGGGCAAGCGUUGUCCGGAAUUAUUGGGCGUAAAGCGCGCGCAGGCGGUUCCUUAAGUCUGAUGUGAAAGCCCACGGCUCAACCGUGGAGGGUCAUUGGAAACUGGGGAACUUGAGGACAGAAGAGGAGAGUGGAAUUCCACGUGUAGCGGUGAAAUGCGUAGAUAUGUGGAGGAACACCAGUGGCGAAAGCGACUCUCUGGUCU